rnacentral:snoRNA from 1 species
AUGACUGGAAGGUUCGGCGCGGACUUGUGAAGAUUAGCCCUACACGAGGA